rnacentral:rRNA from 1 species
GAGUUUGAUUAUGGCUCAGGAUGAACGCUGGCGGCGUGCCUAACACAUGCAAGUCGAGCGCGGUUGUGCUUAGUAUUGAGUGUUUUAUUGAUAUAAAACAUUGAAUUCUAUGCACAACUGAGCGGCGGACGGGUGAGUAACGCGUGGGUAACCUGCCCUAUACACAUGGAUAACAUACUGAAAAGUUUACUAAUACAUGAUAAAAUAGUUUUUCGGCAUCGAAGAAUUAUCAAAGUGUUAGCGGUAUAGGAUGGACCCGCGUCUGAUUAGCUAGUUGGUGAGAUAACUGCCCACCAAGGCGACGAUCAGUAGCCGACCUGAGAGGGUGAUCGGCCACAUUGGAACUGAGACACGGUCCAAACUCCUACGGGAGGCAGCAGUGGGGAAUAUUGCACAAUGGGCGCAAGCCUGAUGCAGCAACGCCGCGUGAACGAUGAAGGUCUUCGGAUCGUAAAGUUUCUGUUGCAGGGGAAGAUAAUGAGCGGUA